GGAGCAGGACACCAACAUUCCUGCCAGGAACAGCUGUAUAUAUGCAGUGUGACAUCUGGAAAGACAACUGCAAUUGUUUCAAGGGGCUGGCAAGAGUGGAAGAAUCUUGAAUCAAAGACCAAAUGAAAGUGGGAAUCCAGAGGAACAAUGGUCCUCUGUGAGAACAGCGAAGGUUGACAAGAGUCACCAGAGCAAGGGGCAGGCUGACAGGAGCAAGGGACAAGUGGAGUCGGCCCAACGGGGCUCAUUAACUCGGCGGUCUUCUUCGUGGCCGGAGGCCUUGAUCUUCACUAGAAAACUCCAUACUGUCAUAAGUGAUACGUCUCCGACUCCUUCCGCUCCUGCGCUGAUGAGCUCGCUGGGCCCUGGCACAAGUCAUGUCUUCUGAUCCUGUAAGGAUGGUGGACAUCACACUUAGAGGAUCGUCCUGUCUCUGUGUCAAGUCAGAGUAGCAGUAUACAGUCCAGGAAAUGGGUUGCCAUGGUCCUGGCGUUUCUUCCCAGCAACAGAACGCUGACUAAGACACUUCUCGGCCGCAGCUGUUAGCAGCAGUCACAUUUACAGAGAUGGUUACUGUGGAGAAAAGUGACAACUGCCGUAGGUGGCCGCCUACCCACUGCUGAGAAGCUGGGGCACUGUUCCAGAGACACUUACCAUGUUCCUCCAGAUGUCUGGCAGCCUCAGGUCCCCUGGGACCCUGUCCUGCUUAGUCAGCCGCCCGAAGUGACAGGGGCGUUGGAGUCCCUUGCUACUCUGCCCAGGUAGCGUCUGCUUUUGU